CUCAGAAGAGAGGUCUUCCUAGUUAGUAAUUUCCUGUGGGUGAGCUACAAUCCUAAGAGAGAUGAGAUGAAGGAGAGUGGAUGGCUUAUCAAAGUCACUUCCUACUAAUAGAAAAGCUCCUCAAAGCCAUAGUCUGCUAAGUUGUGUUUUCUCAAGGAGUUAUCCCUUCAGAGGUCCCUCGGAAACAGUAAGAGUAGGUAGAGAAAUGAGAGACCUUCUCUACUCCACCUUUCAAUUAUUGCCUUUUGGCUAAUUGUUUCCAGUCCUUUGCCAAGAUGGAGUAUUAAUUAGGUCUGUCUACGUCUCUCUCUCUCUUUCUCUGUUUCUCUGUUGCAAAUGACAGAAAGCCCAAUCUACAUCACUAAGCCAAAGAGUGAAUAAGGGAGUUUAUUGGAUCAUGAAGCAGGGCCCUCCAGAGUUCGGCUUCAGACAUAGCAAGAUAGUCUCUGGAUUAGGUUUUUGUCUCUCCAUCUAUCAGCUCUGUUUCUGCUAUGUUUUGAUAUUGUUCUCAGAAAGGCUCAUCCCUUAUUUUUCCAUACUGGCUGCCAGCAUCACCCAGGACUAUAUCAGUAACAGAUUCCAAUCGAGGAAAAGAACAACAGACUUUGUUCCAGCAUUUCCAGAAGAAGCCUUAAGAAUCGUUAUGACUGAACCAUCUGAAGUCACAUGUGACUAGGAAAUAUGAUUUGGCAUAUUUUGGGGACCUGGGAUAGGAGUGGGUCUGGAGCUCCACGCCAAACACAUGAACUGAGAGUGAAAUGGCAGGAAAUUGCUGCAGCUGAAGACGUCUGAUGUCUUCUGGUGCCUGUCAGACCCAGGCUGGAUUCUGGCUGUCUUGGCGUCCAUGUUUGAAGCAUGGACAGCAGGGUCUACGGUCUUUAUCCAUCAUUUGCCCCGGUUUGACCCCAACGUCAUUGUCCAGACACUCUCCAAAUACCCCAUCACCCAAUGCCUUGCUGCACCAUCCGUAUUUCGAAUGAUUCUGCAGCAGGAUUUCACCAGGUAUGGCAGAAGUGGCUGUAGCUGGUAAUGACCAUCUUUGGGUAGGAUUUUAAGGAAUCCAGUGCACCGUGGUCUGACUGUUUUUGAUUCUGAUUCUUUGAGGGUAGUGUGUACGUGUGUGUGUGUGUGCGUGUGCUCAUAUGUGGUAAGUGUUGGUGAUAAUUAUCAGGAUUAUCAUUUUAAUUAGUUCAUUAAGUUGAGACUCAGAAAUCUGAGUGAAACACUCAGUGAGGCUUGCAUCAUUGUGGGUGUAUUCUCUUUUAAACAUUUUUAUUGUGAAAUAAACAUAUAGAAAAAUACAUGACGUAAAUUUACAGAUUAAUUAUUUAAAAUAAAACACCUAUGUAACCAAUCACACAAGUCACAAAAAUAGAACAUUGCCAGCAUCCCAGAGACCUCCUCACGCCUCUCCAUCUCCCCUAAAGAAAUCCAAUAUCUUGGUUUUUAAUGGGUUUGUUUCCCUACCUUCCCUCAUAGUUAACCUCCUAAGGAACUAUCCCUAAACAAAUUAUUCUAUUUUACUUACCUUUGAACUUUAUUUAAUCUUAUUAUUCUGUAAUAUCUGGCUUCUUUUUUCAACAUUCGGUUUCUGAGAUGUGUCCCUGUUGCUGCAUAUUGCUGUAAUUAAUUCUCAUUGCUGUAUCAUAUUCCACUUUAUGAACAUACCACCUUUUUUUAAAUCAUUUCUACCAUUAAUGGACAAUUGUGCAGUUUACAGUUUGGACUUUUGGUGAUUGAUGCUGUACUGAAUUCUUGCACAUGCACGCUGGGACAUCUAAGCACACAUUUCUGUAGAGUUUUUCUGGGAGAGGAAUUGCUAGGUCACACUGGCACUGCACCCUAGCACCCUAUUUUCCAAAGUAUUCAACCAAUUUAUGCUCUCACUAGCAGGUAGGAGAAUUACCAUUGUUUCACAUCGUUGGCAAUAUUUGCCAUUGUCAGAGUUUUUAAUUUUUGCCAAUCUGAUGGGUGUAUAGUAUUAUCUUACUCUGGUUUUAUUUUUGCAUUUCCCUGUGUUUGUGGAUUAAUUUUUAGCUAAACUGUAAUCUGCUCUUUGAAACUUAUGGGAAUUUAUGUAUCUUAUAGAGACUGUGAAAUUGAAAUGGCUACUUCCAAAAUCAGAGCUAGCGUGUUUUAGACAUGAGUUAAAAUACCAAGGAGUUCAAUGAUUACCCUUACGAAGCUAACUCUGAAACACAACUUGAUUUAUUUAUGAAGCCUCAAACUGGCUGGAUUCUGUUUCCAUCUGUAUUUCAAAGCUCAUCUUACAGCCACUUUUUGCAACAUUCCUCAGAUGGUGACCUUUGUCCAAACUCAGUAAAAAUCCACCCAGGGCAUAACUAAUGACUCCAUCAGAGACUCUGCCACUUUAUCUGCUUUGGAUAAAGCUCCAGAAGAAUAAGAAAGACACCCUCAAUGAGACCAGCCCUCCUGUCGGUCACCCUUGACCUGUAUGUACCAGGAAAGAGUGACAAGUGUGGAAAGGUGAACCAGACAUCUGCCACCUCCCUCAUCCCCAAGAGCUGGCCCAGCUCAGCCCCA